UUUCCAGUCUCCUAAUGAAGAACUGUCACAGAAUGUCUCUGUACCUGUAUUUAGAGACACAUGUCUGUGCAUUUGCCUGAAUGUGUGAGUUCUCAGAAUUAUGGAUUCAUUGCUGGUAGCUGGUGAUUUCCAAUGCAGAAGGUCGCUAACUACAAGAAAUGUUCUAUCCGGACAAGUCCCGCCUGCACUUUGGGAUCCUUUGUGUCCUGCCCAGUGGUGCCGAUCUCCUGAACAAAUGCCUCCUGAGGAUUUCUGUGUCUGGAAAAUAUCUGUCAACAGAUUGCAUUUACGUCCCUGUAGAACAGCAAAGCCACGAAAACAGAUGUGCCCUAACUCUAACAGGCAGUGAAUGUUUGCUGAGCAGACUGCAUCCAUUAAAAAUAAUAAUUUACAGCUUACGACGUGCCAACUGCCCAGCAGUCCUGCCAGUGGUUGAUGUAAUGAUGGGCGUGCUCAUCUGGGUGAUGGCCCCCACUGAUCCCCACCUGCUGGUGUUCACGCCCUCCAGUGGAGCAGGGGCUGGACCAAGUGACUGACUUCUCUUCGCUAGAAUAUGGCUAAGGUGAGGCGUCACUUCCAAGAUUAGGUUAUGAAUGGGCUGAUCCUGUCGUGCUUUUGUGUUCACUCAUGCUGGCUCGCUCUGUUUCUCUAAGGAAAGUCACCUGCCCGUGUCAGGAGCUGCCCAGUGGAGAGACCCAGGUAGAAAGGAACAGAUGUCUUCAGGCAGCAGCUCAUGAUGACCUGAGGCCUGCCUAGAGCCACAUGAGCUUGGAAAUGAAUCCUCUCUCGACAAGUGUGGGGAUGACUGCAGCUCCAGCCAACACCUUGACUGCAACCCUGAAAGACCCUGAACUAGAGGACCCACAGGAAUUGUUACAUAAUACAUGCUUAUUAUUUUAAACCACUACAUUCUGGGGUUACUUGUUAUGCAGCAAUAGCUGACUCUUACAGCUGGUAGUACUCUUAUCUAGGCUCAGACUUCCUGCUUAUGGUACCUAAUAUGUUUUUAGAUAAAGAUUUUGUUGGAGAAUCACUUUAGAUUUACAGAAAGGUUGCACAGAUAAUAGAGUUGUCUUCUGUCCCUCAUCCAGUUUCCUCUAUUAUUAAUAUCUUACAUAACCAUGGUACAUUUGUCAGUACUAAGAAACCAACAUCAGCACUUUACUGGUGACUGAAUUUCAGACUUUAUUCACAUCUGACUAGUUUUUCCACUGAUGUCCUUUUUCUAUUCCAGGAUUGGUAUCAUAUUUUAAUAGCCUAGUAGAUACCAUGCCUCAUAACUCUGCAUGUGUGUGCGUGUGUGUAGAGAGAAGAAAUGCAUAUAUAUUUGCUAAAAUCUGGGAGAUCUACUCACAGAUAAUAAAGGAACAUUAGCAAGAUCUUUAAUUAGGAGUCUUGUUUAUAAUUAUUAGGAAAAAUAACCAUUAUAUUAACUUAAUAAAAAAUGUCUAGGAACAGCUGGGUGGCUCAGUUGGUUAAGCAUCUGACCCUUGGUUUCUGCUCAGGUCAUGGUCUCAGAGUUGUGAGAUUGAGCACUGUGUCAGGCUCCAUGCUCAGUGGGGAGUGUGCUUGAGAUUCUCUCUCUCCAUCUCCCUCUGCCUCUCCCCCUGUUCACAUGUGCACACUUUCUAAAUAAAUAAAUAAAUAAAAUCUUUUUAAAAAAUCUAUUAUGUGAAAUCACUGAGGGGGAGGUGGGAGUGGCUGCAAAUAAAAAAUGGUAAGACCCUAACAAGUCAGAAAUACUUCUAAAUGUCAAGUCUGCCUUACUAAAAAGGAACAAUGCUCUUUUAAUAAACUAAAACUUGGAUUUUCAUUUAAUAAGAAUAUCAUAUAUGAGAUUUGCCAGCGGUUAUUUUGCAUUAUCAUGUUGGUACAAAUUAAUUUUUAUUUAUAUAAUAUGUAAUUACUUAAUUUUCUUAUAAGUAAAUGAAAACUAUCCAUCUAAGAGAAAUGAUUUCCUUUUUUCUUGAUUCCUAUGCAGUGUGAUCCUGGCCAAGUCACUUAGUCUUCUUGGGUUUUCCUUUAGUAUCAGUUUGUAUUACCAGAAUUUUACAACGAAUUAAUCAUGUGCUACAAAUGCUUAAUCUUUGUAAAUAUUUUGUAAAUAAAACUGUAAAAGGGUAAUAAAAAUUUCUAUUCCCU
ensembl:lncRNA